AACGAGCGCUGGCGGCAUGCCUAACACAUGCAAGUCGAACGAGACCUUCGGGUCUAGUGGCGCACGGGUGCGUAACGCGUGGGAACCUGCCCUUAGGUUCGGAAUAACUCCCCGAAAGGGGUGCUAAUACCGGAUAAUGUCUUCGGACCAAAGAUUUAUCGCCUUUGGAUGGGCCCGCGUUGGAUUAGCUAGUUGGUAGGGUAAAAGCCUACCAAGGCGACGAUCCAUAGCUGGUCUGAGAGGAUGAUCAGCCACACUGGGACUGAGACACGGCCCAGACUCCUACGGGAGGCAGCAGUGGGGAAUAUUGGACAAUGGGCGAAAACCUGAUCCAGCAAUGCCGCGUGAGUGAUGAAGGCCUUAGGGUUGUAAAGCUCUUUUACCCGGGAUGAUAAUGACAGUACCGGGAGAAUAAGCUCCGGCUAACUCCGUG
rnacentral:rRNA from 1 species